UACGGGGGGAGCAAGCGUUGUUCGGAUUUACUGGGCGUAAAGGGCGCGUAGGCGGUCAGCACAAGUCAGUUGUGAAAUCUCCGGGCUUAACUCGGAAAGGUCAACUGAUACUGUGCGACUAGAGUGCAGAAGGGGCAACUGGAAUUCUCGGUGUAGCGGUGAAAUGCGUAGAUAUCGAGAGGAACACCGGUGGCGAAGGCGGCGGCCUGGGUUGACACUGACGCUGAGGCGCGAAAGCGUGGGGAGCAAACAGG
rnacentral:rRNA from 1 species